rnacentral:rRNA from 1 species
GAUGAACGCUGGCGGCGUGCCUAAUACAUGCAAGUCGAGCGAACAGACGAGGAGCUUGCUCCUCUGACGUUAGCGGCGGACGGGUGAGUAACACGUGGAUAACCUACCUAUAAGACUGGGAUAACUUCGGGAAACCGGAGCUAAUACCGGAUAAUAUCUUGAACCGCAUGGUUCAAUAGUGAAAGACGGUUUUGCUGUCACUUAUAGAUGGAUCCGCGCUGCAUUAGCUAGUUGGUAAGGUAACGGCUUACCAAGGCAACGAUGCGUAGCCGACCUGAGAGGGUGAUCGGCCACACUGGAACUGAGACACGGUCCAGACUCCUACGGGAGGCAGCAGUAGGGAAUCUUCCGCAAUGGGCGAAAGCCUGACGGAGCAACGCCGCGUGAGUGAUGAAGGUCUUCGGAUCGUAAAACUCUGUUAUUAGGGAAGAACAAAUGUGUAAGUAACUAUGCACGUCUUGACGGUACCUAAUCAGAAAGCCACGGCUAACUACGUG